rnacentral:rRNA from 1 species
UAGUUGGUCUUAGAGGACGAUCAACCACACUGGAACUGAAAUAAGGUCCAGGCUAAUUUUUUGGCCAGCAGUGAGGAAUAUUGGACAAUGAACGAAAGUUUGAUCCAGCGAUAUUAUCUGAAUGAAGACGGCUUUUUUUAGUUGUAAAAUUCUUUCGUUAAGAAAUGAUAAUGACAUUAUUUAAAGAAGUUUAAGUCCCGGCCAAUACUCGUGCCAGCAGCCGCGGUAAUACGGGGGGGGCGAGCGUUAUCCAUCAUGACUGGGCGUAAAGGGUCUGUAGACGGUAAAGUAAGUUACUUGUUAAAUUUUAAAGCCUAACUUUAAGUCAGCUUGUAAUACUGCUUUACUUGAGUUUUAUACAGAAGAGUAGAAUUUUAUACGUAAGGGUAAAAUCUUGAAAUAUAUAAAGGAACACCAGUAGCGAAGGCGACUCUUUGGUAAAAACUGACGUUGAGAGACGAAAGUGUGGGUAGCAAACAGGAUUAGAUACCCUGGUAGUCCACACUGUAAAUUCUGAGUGCUGAAAUUUAAUGUAAGAUACAAUUCUUAUUUAGAUUUUUAAGCUAACGCCAUAAGCACUCCGCCUGAGGAGUACGGUCGCAAGGUUGGAACUCAAAGGAAUUGACGGGGGCUUAAUACUAGUGGUGGAGCAUGUGGUUUAAUGCGAUAAUCCGCGCAGAACCUUACCAAUUCUUGACAUAAAAGUAAAGUUUAAUUCUACAUUUGGUAGAAUUAUAAUUAUGAUUUUUACAGGUGUUGCACGACUGUCGUAAGCUCGUGUCGUGAGAUGUUUGGUUAAUUCCUUUAACGGGCGAAACUCUUAUCUUUAAUUUACUUAUUUUUUAGACAGAUUAAAAAUUUAAAAGAUGCUUUAAAGGUACCGUCAACUAUAAGUUGAAGGAAGGUGAGAACUAAGCCAAGUCAAUGUGACCCUGAUGAAUUGGGCUACACAUGUGCUACAAUGAAAAUCACAAAAAGUAACAAAAAAUUAAAUUUUUAGUUAAUCCUACAAAAGUUUUCCCAGUUCGGAUUGUAGGCUGAAACUCGCUUACAUGAAGUUGGAAUCACUAGUAAUCGCAAAUCAGCACGUUGCGGUGAAUAUGUCAAUUAGCCUUGUACACACCGCCCGUCACAUGCAGAAAGCCAGCUUUGCUUGAAGAUUUAACUUAGUUAAAUCGAUUGAGAAGUUGGCAAUUUGGAUGAAGUCGUAACAAGGUAGCUGUACGGGAACGUGUAGCUG